UGUGGUAGCCAAAGAUCCACGUGAGAAAGGAGUAAUAAGAAUCUCACCCGGACGGCCGUCCGAUCAAUAUCUGACGGCCGGGCGGUGUUAGCGCGUCUAUAACCGUCAGUUGCUUUGUGUGGCCACGGCUGCCGCCCCCGCCCAAUGGCGUCCCCCUCUACGGCGGCGACGCCCAAGGCCGUGGUGCGGCCGGCGGGGAGGUACGCCGUGUACGUCGCUGCCGUACCGCUGCGGGCGCCCCAGGGCCCGGCCCAGGCUCUGAUGUCUGCGGGCUACUCGCUGGGCCUCUGGGAGCUUCAGCACUUCAUGGUGCUCCUCCGGCCCGACCCGGCCCGGACCCAGGCGUCGUUGGUCUUCGAUUUCCAGCCUCGAGAUCCCGAGGAUGUUCUUGCCGCGUUCUCGGUGCUGUCGCGGAGCAAAAUACCCGGAGUGGUUCUGAGAAGAACGCCGCGGAGGAUCCCGGACAGGAGGAGCUGGUUCGUCGGGCUCAGCGGCGGCGACGCCGCGGACGCCGCCGAGAGGUUCAGCGAGCAGUGGCCCACCGACCUGGUCGUCGGGGAGCACGACUGCCGACACUACACCAACGGGCUCGUCGAAGUGUUGACAGGAGAAAAACGUGUCCUGGAUUCGCUCAGAUCAGCCGCCAAUGAGGCUGCACCAUGAUGAAUGAUCAGUCAGAAUGGGAACUGCUAUCAGACCGUUUUGCAAACGCGUAUGGAAGAAAUGAAGAUACUUCAACGAAUUCCUUGGCUGGAGCUUGAAGCAAAAGUAGAAACACUAAUGUAUGUAAUCAGUAUAUUUUGAGAACAACUCCACAUAUGCCUCUAGAAACUCAAAACCAGUCCUUGUCGCGUGGAUAUGGCACGACAUUGCAUAUCCAAGACAGGAGACUGCUGGCAAGUUCUUGUGGAGUGGGGGCAAUAUUUGGAUAUCUGGAGGAGGGGCCCUGAAUUGCACAAUGCCAUGAUCCUCACUGGCCAUCAUGAUCGGUCCUUUCGGAUUGGGACUCUCAAAGUCUCAGCCCUGACGCCUGAAUUGGUCUCAUCUCAGAGAAAUCCACAUCCAUCCAUCCAUCCAUCCAUUCCUCCUAAGGGACAUCUGCUGGUCCGAGGAAACCACGAGGCUUUGAGCUUGAACCCACGGCGGAUCGCGGCCGUAUAUAUGGAGGGAUGAGGAGGAGGAGACAGGGCAAGGGAAGGGGAUCGAUCGAGGGAGGAAGAUGGUGGUGGUGGGGAGAGGGGAGCACUCGACGAUCUAUCUAAGCCCGUAAAGCUAGUGGGGGGGAUUCCGCUGGGUUGUGGUGCUUGUUUCUUUCACCCUUCCCUGUUUGACCGUGACAGGGGAGGAGAGACGUGAUCCUUUACAUGCCAAACCAAUGCUCUGCUCUUCCCUUCUCUUCUCUGCUCUGCUCUCUGCAUGAUGAUUUGCCUUGCUUACGGCGUAAUGAUGUCACAUACUCUGUAUGUUUUUUCUUCGAACAGUAAUAUUAGGUUAUUUAACCAUUUCUCAGUCGACUGAUUUUUAAGAAA